rnacentral:rRNA from 1 species
GAUGAACGCUGGCGGCGUGCCUAAUACAUGCAAGUCGUGCGGAAAGGCCACUUCGGUGGUACUCGAGCGGCGGACGGCAGAGUAACGCGUAGGAACAUACCCCAAACUGAGGCAUAACUGCUCGAAAGAGCAGCUAAUACCGCAUGUGAUCUUCGGAUUAAAGCUUCGGCGGUUUGGGAAUGGCCUGCGUCCGAUUAGCUAGUUGGUGAGGUAAAUGCUCACCAAGGCUUCGAUCGGUAGCUGGUCUGAGAGGAUGAUCAGCCUGACUGGAACUGAGAACGGUCCAGACUCCUACGGGAGGCAGCAGUAGGGAAUUUUCCACAAUGGGCGAAAGCCUGAUGGAGCAACGCCGCGUGCAGGAU